UCGCUACUACCGAUUGAAUGGCUUAGUGAGCUCUACGAACUGUGUGGUAUUGGGGGGUUUCUCCCAUUCCUCUACGGGAAGUGGAUCAAACUUGAUCAUUUAGAGGAAGUAA
rnacentral:rRNA from 1 species